rfam:Thermosulfurimonas dismutans strain S95 contig00001, whole genome shotgun sequence.
GGGGGCGAAGAGGGCUCGACGGGGGUGUGUAGGCCUAAACGGCGUGCCGAGGUCCCCACCGCCUCGUAAAAAAGGUGGGAAAAACACAAGUGCCGACGAAUACGCUUACGCUCUGGCGGCCUAAAAAAUAGAGCCGCCCGCUCCGGAUGAGCCUUCGGCCCGCGGGGCCUCCGGAGCGCCGGGUUAGCGGGCUGGAUGGAAGGGAGUGCCUGCCUCCCUUCCAUCGAGAGUCCAGCAGGCUGGGCGAGGAGGAAGCGCCCGGGUCUUUCUCCUCGUCGAGAUCGACUACCCGGGCUACGCACGUAGAAGUUUAGGCUGAAGCACCUCCGGACGCGGGUUCGAUUCCCGCCGCCUCCACCA